GCAUCGUAUAAUGGCUAUUACCUCAGCCUUCCAAGCUGAUGAUGCGGGUUCGAUUCCCGCUGCCC
rnacentral:tRNA from 3 species